GGAUCUUCUACUGGAAUUGGGAAUUACGGUGAUACACCAUGAGGGUAGGAGAUCUAAUGAAGCUGCGGAUAUCUUAGCAAAGGAAGCAAGGAAGAAGGAAGCACCACAGUUUUUUGAAGAAUGAACAGUUCCACCUUUGUUUAUUCAUAAAGCUAUUAUAACAGACAAAGAAGGAACUUCCUCUAAUAGGCGGUCUGUAAAUCGUAACUAUAGCGUAUCUCCUACUAACAUGCACUACAUUGAUAGGCAAUAUCUGCCUGUAGACUCUACUUUACGUACUACUAAUAGCUUAGAUGUAGACCCGAUAGGGUCAUAUCCG
rnacentral:lncRNA from 1 species